GCCCGGGUGGCGGAAUGGUAGACGCGCUCGUUUCAGGUGCGAGUGGUGAGAACCGUGCAAGUUCGAUUCUUGUUCCGGGCAC
rnacentral:tRNA from 1 species